GUCCAGAAUAGAAUUUUAGUUCAACUUUAAAUUUUCCUAAAGGACACCUAACCCUAAUGAAAGUUUAAAUGUUACUCUAAAGAGGGACAGCUCUUUAGAAAUAGGAUACAGCCUUUUAUAAUGAGUAAGUCAUUUUAAACCCAUAGUUGGCCUAAAAGCAGCCAUCAAUUAAGAAAGCGUUAAAGCUCAACAGUCAAAAUUAACUUAAUUCCUAGAUUUAAAAACGAACUCUUAUAACCCCUAACUGGACUAAUCUAUAAACUUAUAGAAGAAAUAAUGCUAAUAUGAGUAACAAGAAUUUAAUUCUCCUUGCACAAGCCUAUAUCAGAUCGGAUGCCCGCUGAUAGUUAACAACUAGUAAUAGAAAAACUCUACAAAUUAACUCUCUAUUAACUUCUACUGUUGACCCAACACAGGUGUGCACUUAUAGGAAAGAUUAAAAGAAGGAAAAGGAACUCGGCAAACUUUAACCCCGCCUGUUUACCAAAAACAUCACCUCUAGCAUUACUAGUAUUAGAGGCACUGCCUGCCCAGUGACAAACGUUUAACGGCCGCGGUAUCCUGACCGUGCAAAGGUAGCAUAAUCACUUGUUCCUUAAUUAGGGACUAGCAUGAAUGGCAACACGAGGGUUUAACUGUCUCUUCCUUCCAAUCAGUGAAAUUGACCUCCCCGUGAAGAGGCGGGGAUAAAACAAUAAGACGAGAAGACCCUAUGGAGCUUUAAUUAUUUAAUUCAAUAUUUUCACAACUUCACUCCACAGGAGCUUAACCAAGAAAAUCCCUGAAUUAAAAAUUUUGGUUGGGGUGACCUCGGAGCAAAAACCAACCUCCGAAUGAUUAAAGCCUAGACUCAACAAGUCAAAGCAUUAGAAAUCAUAAAUUGACCCAAAUCCUUUUGAUCAACGGAACAAGUUACCCUAGGGAUAACAGCGCAAUCCUAUUUUAGAGUUCCCAUCGACAAUAGGGUUUACGACCUCGAUGUUGGAUCAGGACAUCCCAAUGGUGCAACCGCUAUUAAAGGUUCGUUUGUUCAACGAUUAAAG
rnacentral:rRNA from 1 species